GUCUUUGUCAAGCUACUCUGACCUGUACGUGUGCACUGCGUUCCCUCACCCUUCCAUUCCCACCCUGCUCGCCUCUAACCUCGUUUGCACCGCUCAUCCGGGCACAGGAGGCGCAGAAGAGCGACACUCUAAGUCACCAGAGCGUGCUGCGUGCUCGUCAUUGACUCCUGGAAGGAACGCAAGUUAAGUACAACACGCAUCACACCGCUGAGGAUUUCACAGAAAAAAAAAGAGCGACCGCCCCCAAGCACUCCCGUAGACCGAAUCGACGAAGGCGAUCGGCGCCUUAUACAGAAGACUGCACAGCGUGGCCGAAAGCCUUUUUCUUUUGCUUAGCAUCAGCCACCGCAACGGUAGCGCGACUCAGCAGGAUGCAGUCUUAUCGUCUCGAGGUGGCCGUGAAGCGAGUGUACGGACUCGACCCGCUCAUCGCCAGCGUCGCGUCAACGAUUUCUGUGGAGGUGCGCUUCCUCGACUUUCCCCCCAUCGUGAUACACCCGCAAGGCUACGCUAUUGGCGACUCAGUGACAUAUAACAUCUGCCACAAGGCUGACUUUCGAAUGAGCAGUGAGCAGGCUGUCGCUGUCUUUCCUGCCAUGUGUCAGUGUCAGCUGGUCAGCGUGAAGGAAGGGGCAGUCGUUGGCGCUGCGCGGUGGUCGUGUCCGUGUCCGUUGGUACCGCAACCCGAUGCAGCUGCCCAACCUCCCCUGCGCACGUACGCCGACUACGUCAUCGGCAACGCUGCCGGUGAGACAGUGGGCUACGCCGAUAUGAGCUGCCGGGUGCUCUCGCAGGAUGCGCCGGCACCGCGGGCAUCGGUGAUGCCGCUGCCGAUCGCUGCACCCCCUGUCCGCGAUGCCGAGCCCAGCAGAGAAACGGGCGCCGAGCAGGGCAAGCCGUACAUCGUGCGUGUGGUAGUAGGUGAAAGUGAUCGGCAUCGCCGCCCAAGCCAGCCUCCUCGCUGCGAAGGCGUGCAGGACGCGUCACGCGGGCACGAGGCGACGGCAGCGCGUGCCAGUGUUAGUGAUCGUGGUCAGCCGCCAAGGCGUGUGCCGGCCAACACCGCCGAAAAGAGCAGUCUACUUCAUCUCCUGCAGUACGAUGUGGCGUAUCAGCUGCAAUCUCUUAGCGAAACCGUCGCGGCAGCGCUGCACCGAGAGCACGAUGUGUUGACACGCACGCCACUCAAAGGACCGGACAAGAGUGGCGCCGUCAGCACCUCCCGGCUUACCAAGUCCAUCGACAACCAUGUGGCAUCAAUUGUGAGGGUGGCAAACAUCAUAUUGCAGGUGGCAAAUCAGCUUGUGGACAACAGCCCUGCCCCACCGCGUAUCGGCACUAGUCGUGAGGUGAAGGACAUGAUACGGCAGUGGCGCAACCCAGUGAACAAGCUGCCGCUUCCCGCUGAAGGCUCCGUAGGCCAUUACUUACAGUACGACGUGCUCUACCAACUCCAGUGUUUGGGUACCAACUUGGCGUACAUGAUCGUUGCCUACCGCGCGGCGCUAGACACACCACUGUCGUCGAUCCCUGCACAGCACGUAGAGUACUGCGACGAGCUUGGGCACGAGAUUCAGCACCUCACGAAGCACAUCAACAUUCUCGUCCAAUCUAGCGUGGAUGGAACGCUCAGCACAGCGGCGCCGUCCAUCGUGCCCGAGCCUGUCGCACAUGAUAAACACCGAAAGAGAAGCAAGGGAAACUCGCAGAGCACACCGCCGGCUGCAGGGCCGCAGCUAGCCCCUCCCAAGUUCACUGGUGCCGCCAAGAGCUUGAGCAGGACUUCCUACUCGUCUUUCAGCAGCACCCGUAGCGCGAGCAGUAGUAGUUUGUCCUCAUCUUCCUUGUCAUCGUCCUUGAAUCGACCGCCAGCGCGGGGGUCGCCGCCGCAGGCGCCAACAGUCGUAACCGUCCCGGCAACUCCGCCGCCAGCCGUGUCAUCACAGCAGGCGGCGGCACCCGCGCCGAACGCCACGUCCCAGCCCCUGCCACCGCCGCCUUCCUACAACGCGGCGGCGGCAACAACAUCAAGCCAGCAAACGUCGCCUCCACUGCCCACCCAGCCGCCGCCGCCCUACACCGUCGCCGCGCCAUCGGCUCAGUCAACGGCAACGCCACUUCCAACGCCAGCAAAGUCGCGAACGGGGCUCUCGCCCUCCAACUCAAUAGAAUCCUUCAGCGCGCCAACCGUCCCGUCGCAGGCGAAUCAGCUCGUGUCACCCGUCUCUUGGAUUAACCAAGAAAGUAACUAUCAGUCACCUCCAGUCGCCACGUCGCCACCGUCGCUUCACACCGCGUUGCAGAGCACGGGCAUGUACGGCACGGCUUCUUCCACCUUUGCGCCGCAGCCCGUCCUCGCCACCGGCGGCCCACCUGUGCUCCACCCUCCGUACUUGUCCUCGGUGCCUCCACCGCUCGCAACGCCGACUCCCCUGGCGCCGCCAAGCGCUGCACCGUCACCGCCACCAAUGGCCGCACCAAAGCUGGCCACGCAGCUGCCGAUUCAGCCGCAGUCCCAGGCACCUUUGGCGAUUCCCAUACCCGUCCCCAUCCCACGCUGACGUGUUCACUAGCAGGAACGCGCCCUUCUUUGCAUAUUUUUAGAGAAACCGUCCGCCACCUGCUCUUAUAG
rnacentral:misc_RNA from 1 species